rnacentral:rRNA from 1 species
GGAUAAUAUUUUGAACCGCAUGGUUCAAAAGUGAAAGACGGUCUUGCUGUCACUUAUAGAUGGAUCCGCGCUGCAUUAGCUAGUUGGUAAGGUAACGGCUUACCAAGGCAACGAUGCAUAGCCGACCUGAGAGGGUGAUCGGCCACACUGGAACUGAGACACGGUCCAGACUCCUACGGGAGGCAGCAGUAGGGAAUCUUCCGCAAUGGGCGAAAGCCUGACGGAGCAACGCCGCGUGAGUGAUGAAGGUCUUCGGAUCGUAAAACUCUGUUAUUAGGGAAGAACAUAUGUGUAAGUAACUGUGCACAUCUUGACGGUACCUAAUCAGAAAGCCACGGCUAACUACGUGCCAGCAGCCGCGGUAAUACGUAGGUGGCAAGCGUUAUCCGGAAUUAUUGGGCGUAAAGCGCGCGUAGGCGGUUUUUUAAGUCUGAUGUGAAAGCCCACGGCUCAACCGUGGAGGGUCAUUGGAAACUGGAAAACUUGAGUGCAGAAGAGGAAAGUGGAAUUCCAUGUGUAGCGGUGAAAUGCGCAGAGAUAUGGAGGAACACCAGUGGCGAAGGCGACUUUCUGGUCUGUAACUGACGCUGAUGUGCGAAAGCGUGGGGAUCAAACAGGAUUAGAUACCCUGGUAGUCCACGCCGUAAACGAUGAGUG